GAUGGUAGUGUAUUGGACUACCAUGGCUCUCACGGGUAACGGAGAAUUAGGGUUCGAUUCCGGAGAAGGAGCCUGAGAAACGGCUACUACAUCUAAGGAAGGCAGCAGGCGCGUAAAUUACCCAAUCCUGACUCAGGGAGGUAGUGACAAGAUAUAACAACGCGAAUAAAUUCGUGAUUGUAGUGAGGGUAUUCUAAACCGAACUUCGAGUACGAUUAGAGGGCAAGUCUGGUGCCAGCAGCCGCGGUAAUA
rnacentral:rRNA from 1 species